ACGGGAGGCAGCAGUGGGGAAUAUUGGGCAAUGGGCGAAAGCCUGACCCAGCGACGCCGCGUGAGGGAAGAAGAUCUUCGGAUUGUAAACCUUAGUCAACAGGGAAGAAGCAAGUGACGGUACCUGUGGAGGAAGCCACGGCUAACUACGUGCCAGCAGCCGCGGUAAUACGUAGGUGGCGAGCGUUAUCCGGAUUUACUGGGUGUAAAGGGAGCGUAGGCGGGACUGCAAGUCAGAUGUGAAAUGCCGGGGCUUAACCCCGGAGCUGCAUUUGAAACUGUGGUUCUUGAGUGAAGUAGAGGCAAGCGGAAUUCCUGGUGUAGCGGUGAAAUGCGUAGAUAUCAGGAGGAACACCGGUGGCGAAGGCGGCUUGCUGGGCUUUUACUGACGCUGAGGCUCGAAAGCGUGGGUAGCAAACAGGAUUAGAUACCCUGGUA
rnacentral:rRNA from 1 species